rnacentral:rRNA from 1 species
AACUUUCAACAACGGAUCUCUUGGUUCCGGCAUUCGAUGUAAGAACGCAGCUAAAAUGCGAUAAGUAAUGUGAAUUGCAGAAUUCCGUGAAUCAUCGAAUCUUUGAACGCACAUUGCGCCCUCUGGUAUUCCGGGGGGCAUGCCUGUCCGAGCGUCAUUGCAACCCUCAAGCGCG